UUCGGUUGUUAUGGAAACGAAUCUGAAGGGAGAUACUGUUGGUGAACACUGCAACAAGCUGGUUUUGAUUUUAAGACUAUAUCUUUUGAGAAAUAACAACGUGGUUAUGAGUUUGAUGAUGAAAUUUGUGAUCUUGGUAUAUCUCUCAGUGUCAUGUCACUCUGUACAACUGGUUACAGUGUCCAGUGAUAAGCAUCUUAAGUGCUAUCAGUGUAAAAGCAACAGCAUUUCAGACAUUCCACCACUCUGUGAUCAUACAUUCUGGAAAGUUACUACAAAAGCAGAAAAACUAUCAAUGCAAUUAUCAUGUCCACAUAAACAGAGCCACUACUGUGUUAAAAAAGUUAUAUGGAAGAAUAAUAUUGUUCUAACUGAUCGUGGCUGUCAAAGGCCGGCUGACAAGUUGGGCACAGUUCGUAAAGAAGGUUGCAUGCAUAUGGCGAAACAAAAUACUACAAUAUGCUUAUGUAACAGUGAUCUAUGCAACUAUGCAGACUGGGGAACUAAGAGUGCACCAUUCACCAUUUUCGGACUUUGCUCGUUUGUCCUCUUCAGCAGAUAAAACAACAUGCUUCUACAACCAGGUGUAUACUGUCUAACUGCAACUCUGAAAUAUCGGCCACCAUCUACCACACUACACAAUGCAACAUCUUAAGAGACAACCCUCUCGAUACUUGUCACCGAGAACCUGAAUCUUACCACACUGAAAACAGUGAAGAAUAUGUGCCAUGUAGCCCGGGAGAAGUUUACCAAUGUUUCGGAUGCCAUCGCUCCCUCCAUCGACAGGGCGACGAGUAAACCACACGCGUCAAAACGGUCUGAGAUAUUGGAACUGGUCAGUCAAGGCAGAAUCUUUACCAAACCAGCGGGGAGUAAUGUCAGGAGCAGGCAAGGGCCUGUAACAUGCCCCUCCUCUCCUACUGGCUCUCAGGCCUUUGCCAAAUCCUGACCUUACUCCCCGCUGGUCUGGCCAAGGUCCUGUCUUGACCGACUGUUUCCGUGUGCCGUAGCUUACUCACUGGAGCAAAAUAUUAAAAUGGAUAUGAAGAAAUAUGAUGAACACUGGACUAAUCUGGCUUAGGAUAUGGUCAGUGGUAGGAUUUUUGCAAACAUGCAUGUACUUAAAUUUAUUUAUUACACAGUAAACUUUUAUAAAUUGA